CCUAGUACAUUAUCAGUAUAUAAUCCUGAGCCCUUUUUGUUUGAAGCCUGGUGUGACUGUCUUAGUCUUGAAAUGUUUUCUAUGUCCUUACAUGUGAACAACUUGUCCCCAUUCUUUUUUUUUCCUUCUUGUGUUUACUUCCCUAAACUAUAUGUCGUAUUUUGGUUCUAAGAUUGUCAGAAUUGUCACAUUUCUUUCAAAAACUGUUUCCGUAUGGAUCAUUCUCCUAAACUAUUUUUCAACUCAAUUUCUUUAGAACUCUGUCACACUCUCACUACUCCUAGAGUUAAGGUUCUACCCCUUUGUGUAAGCAUUGCAUUUGUCUCCUUUGAGUACUCAUUGAACUUUGAUGCACAAGGCAGGUAAUUCCACACUACACUUGUUCAACAUUUUGGUAGUGCUUGAGUGCUGG
rnacentral:lncRNA from 1 species